CCUACGGGUGGCAGCAGUAGGGAAUAUUGCUCAAUGGGGGAAACCCUGAAGCAGCAACGCCGCGUGGAGGAUGAAGGUUUUCGGAUUUUUAACUCCUUUUGUUAGAGAAGAUAAUGACUGUAUCUAACGAAUAAUCACCGUCUAACUCCGUGCCAGCAGCCGCGGUAAUGCGGAGGGUGCAAGCGUUAUUCGGAAUCACUGGGCGUAAAGAGCGCGUAGGCGGGAUAGCAAGUCAGAUGUGAAAUCCUAUGGCUUAACCAUAGAACUGCAUUUGAAACUGUUAUUCUAGAGUAUGUGUGAGGUAGGUGGAAUUCUUGGUGUAGGUGUAAAAUCCGUAGAGAUCACGAGGAAUACUCAUUGCGAAGGCGACCUGCUAGAACAUAACUGACGCUGAUGCGCGAAAGCGUGGGGAGCAAACAGGAUUAGAUACCCUCGUAGUC
rnacentral:rRNA from 1 species